CCUACGGGUGGCAGCAGUGAGGAAUAUUGGUCAAUGGCCGAAAGGCUGAACCAGCCAAGCCGCGUGAAGGACGACGGUGCCAAGCGUUGUAAACUUCUUUUGUAAAGGGACAAAAUCAGGCUCGAGAGCCUGACCGAGGGUACUUGAUGAAAAAGCAUCGGCUAACUCCGUGCCAGCAGCCGCGGUAAUACGGAGGAUGCGAGCGUUAUCCGGAUUUAUUGGGUUUAAGGGGUGGGUAGGCGGAGUGUUAAGUCAGAGGUAAAAGUCCGGGGCUCACCCCCGGAGAGCCGUUGAAACUGGCUGUCUUGAGAUGUCGAGAGGUAUGCGGAAUGCGUAGUGUAGCGGUGAAAUGCUUAGAUAUUGCGCAGAACUCCGAUUGCGAAGGCAGCAUACUGGCGGCGAUCUGACGCUGAGGCACGAAAGUGUGGGUAUCGAACAGGAUUAGAUACCCUGGUAGUC
rnacentral:rRNA from 1 species